GUCCUUCCUUGACCCCUUUAUUGCCCCGAGGGACACAUCAAGCAACAUGUCUCGGGAGGUCGAGGAAGACUUCACCGCAGAAAAUGCUGCUUCUUCUGCUGGGAUGCCUGAAGACCUGGAGGAAGCAGGCCCCUCAGGAGUGGAGUUUGACGGUUGGUUGAUGAGUGAAAAACAUAGCAAAUAAAUUUGAGUCCCCUCAUGGUUUAAACACACCAUUGUAGUCUAAUUUAAGAUGGACAGAUCAAGUCAUGCACAUGUAAUGUGUGAACAUUUUUUAUUUGAAUAACAAUGUUGCCUGAUUGCAGAGUUUUGAUUUCAGACAUUUUUGUCACAACUUUAACUAAAGAUAAGCCUGCUCCCUCUCCUGCUUCAGCUCCCUCUCCUGCAGCAGCUCCCUCUCCUGCCCCAGCUCCAUCUCCUGCUUCAGCUCCCUCUCCUGCCCCGUCAGCUUCUCCUGCUCCCUCAACUGCGGCAAGUGAUGCCUCGGGCCCCACUGCAGCCAGGCCAAGAGGUAUAGAAAUUAAAUAUUAACCAUAUAUUCAAUGAAAUUGCUCAAGGUCACAUAGAAAUUAUAAAACAAAUAGUAACCGAUUAGUUUUUUUUUAUGACAGGGAGGAAGAGGAGGACGCCUCCCUCCUCACGACUGGAGGAGAUUGAGGAGCUCCUCUGUCAGGCCCUGAGGAGGCAGCAGACUCCCCCUCCACCACCACCACCACCACCACCCACAUCUCGCUAUCCCGAG